CAGGGAGACAACACAAUGAUUUUGAUGUCUUAGUUAUUUAUACUUAGGCCAAAAUCCUGUCACCUUAGGUCGAUCGGUACCUCAAAUUAAUAUUCAAUCAAAUCUGAAUUUAUUUAGGUUUUAGUUGGAGAUUGGUUUCAGUUCCUAAACUUGUCUAGGUCACACCCCUAAGGGUUUCUCCUGGGCCAUUAGCUCAGGUGGUUAGAGCGCACCCCUGAUAAGGGUGAGGUCCCUGGUUCAAGUCCAGGAUGGCCCAUUCGGUGUUGGGGGUAUAGCUCAGUUGGUAGAGCGCCUGCUUUGCAAGCAGGAUGUCAGCGGUUCGAGUCCGCUUACCUCCACUGACCGACCUCUUGCAGCGACCCAUUUGUGAGAAUCUUCUAGAGAUGUGAUUUGGACUGAGUUCCCGCUGAGGGAACCUAGCUUCCUAUCAUUCCUAAUCUAAUUAACCUAAUUAGGUGAGGUUGACAGGACGCUGGGCUCACUAAGGUUUUUAGAAUCUUAGAGAUUUUCAGCAGAACCUUGACAACUGCAUAGGUAAGUCUGGAAAGAAUAAAGCAUCUCAUAGAUGCAUUAUUUUUAAUGACAUAUGAAUUGAUUUGUAAAUACAAAUCUUUCUUUUUCAUUGAUUAUAAUGCUUGAUUCUUGAGUUAAGAGCUGAGACUCUAUGAUCCAUUUUGUUUAACUUUCUUUAAUUAAAAAUGAGAAAUUUUCUCGUUUUUAAUAGAGGUAAGUUGCAUUGGUUAUAGAGAUGAAAU
rnacentral:tRNA from 1 species